rnacentral:misc_RNA from 1 species
AAGACUAUAGACCUGCGGAGUACCUGCGGAAGGAUCAUUAUAGAGUGGUAAACCUCCCGUAAAAAGGGGGGGACCUCCCGUCCUUUGCAGGCUCUUUUUUAAGGGGCUUUUUUGACUUUCUGCUUCGGUGGGGUUAUCCUACCGGAACAACUUCAAAACUCUGAAUCAAAAAAAUCGUUCUGUCCGAGGGCUUUUUUAUAAAAUAAAAAAAAACUUUUAACAACGGAUCUCUAGAUCGGA